rnacentral:rRNA from 1 species
GAUGAACGCUGGCGGCGUGCCUAAUACAUGCAAGUCGAGCGAAGCGGGGACGGGUGAGUAACACGUGGAUAACCUCCUAUAAGACUGUGAUAACUUCGGGAAACCGGAGCUCAACCGGAUACUUAUCGAUGGAUCCGCGCUUCAUUAGCUAGUUGGGAAGGUAACGGCUUACCAAGGAAACGAUGCAUAGCAGACCGGAGAGGGUGAUCGGCCACACUGGAACUGAGACACGGUCCAGACUCCUACGGGAGGCAGCAGGAGGGAAUCUUCCGCAAUGGGCGAAAGCCUGACGGAGAAACGCCGCGUGAGUGAUGAAGGUCUUCGGAUCGUAAAACUCUGUUAUUAGGGAAGCGGUACCUAAUCAGAAAGCCACGGCUAACUACGUGCCAGCCGCCGCGGUAAUUC